GACGAACGCUGGCGGCGUGCUUAACACAUGCAAGUCGAACGGAAAGGCCCUGCUUUUGUGGGGUGCUCGAGUGGCGAACGGGUGAGUAACACGUGAGUAACCUGCCCUUGACUUUGGGAUAACUUCAGGAAACUGGGGCUAAUACCGGAUAGGAGCUCCUGCUGCAUGGUGGGGGUUGGAAAGUUUCGGCGGUUGGGGAUGGACUCGCGGCUUAUCAGCUUCUUGGUGGGGUAGUGGCUUACCAAGGCUUUGACGGGUAGCCGGCCUGAGAGGGUGACCGGCCACAUUGGGACUGAGAUACGGCCCAGACUCCUACGGGAGGCAACAGUGGGGAAUAUUGCACAAUGGGCGGAAGCCUGAUGCAGCAACGCCGCGUGCGGGAUGACGGCCUUCGGGUUGUAAACCGCUUUCGCCUGUGACGAAGCGUGAGUGACGGUAAUGGGUAAAGAAGCACCGGCUAACUACGUG
rnacentral:rRNA from 1 species